AAAUUGAAUAUAAAUAAGGUGUAAUUUUGUAGCAGAGAUGCUGAAAAGUUCACAUAUAAGUCAACCGAAGGGAAAUGAAAGUAUUUAUUGUAUAUAUUUAGCAAUUUAUUGAAUAGCAUUUUAUGCCACCGCUGAUUUUUUUACGUCGAUAACUCAAGAGGAAACAAUGGAUACAAUAUGUGGCCUUAAAAAGGCGUACUAUUUUCGCAAAAAAUGGUUCGCAAACUAUCAUAGAAUCAAAGCGUUUGAAACAAAAAUAUUAUUAUAUAAAUAAUAAAAAACAAGAUUACAAUACAAGUCUUUCAAAAGUAUUCUGGAAUUAACGGAUGCAAACUUGGUUUUGACUAAUAAGAAGGGCACACCCGCCAUUGUUCGGACCAUCGACAGAAUAACGUUCGUGUUUUUCAGAUUUCUCCAUCCAAGACAUAGAUUUGCUGAUGAAUAACAUCGCAAAGAUCUUGGUGUAUUGUCUUCAUACUUGGCCACAACAACCCUUCAAAUAGACCAGACUAAACUAAAUUAACUUGACCACCAUAUUAACAUUCAAGAAGUUCGGCCAACAUGUCAGAUUUAUGAAUGUGAACAGCAGGAUAUCGAUUUUAAGGAUGCUUUAGGGUCAAUGACAAUGAAAUCACGAGAGAUCAAGGCUAAAAUGUGAGACUGUCAAUCUGACUAACCUUGAAGUGAACAAAUGGAAAAAAUGUUUCUUUCAAUAGCAUGGGCUUUUAAGGAAGAGGAAACAGAGGCGCUUAUAUGAUAGAACAGUAAAAGCAGGAGUGAAAAGGAAAGAUACAUGUAGAUGUGUCUUCAUGUCGGAAACACUAAAGAAAUAGAAAUAUUGUGGUUUUAUAAAACUUAAAAGAAAUUGGAAUACCAGGAGACUGCCUGCCCUUUGCAAUGUUGGAUAAUGAGUUCUUAGAUGUGAUGUCGAAAGCCUCAUGAAUAUAGUACCAUGACUUAAUCUAAUUAGAAAAAGAAAUGACAUUGAGGAGAAAACUAGUCACCAGUCUUUCACCAAGAACUAGAGAUAACUUUCCAAUAUUUGAAAUAUCAUAAUAUGUAUAGAACUUUAUUGAGCCACCAGUUAUUUACCAGGAAAAUAAGAUCACUUAACUAUCUUUAGCUCACCUGUCACAAAGUGACAGGGUGAGCUUUUUUGAUCGCUUUUCGUCUGGCGUCCGUCCGUAAACUUUUACUUUAAAUGACAUCUCCUCAUAAACCACUAAGCCAAUUUCAUCCAAACUUCACAGGAAUGUUUCUUUGGUGGUCACCUCUAAAUAUUGUUCAUAGAACGCUGGUUGCCAUGGCAACCAAAAGAAAAAAACUUAAAGUAUCUUCUUUUUUAAAGAACCCAAAGAGCUAGAGCUUAGACAAAGUAUCUUCUUUUAAAGGUAUGAAACAUCUUCUAGUGAGUGUCUACCAAGUUUGUUCAAAUAAAAGCCCUGGGGUCAAAAUUGGCCCCGCCCCAGGGGGUCAUUGAAUUUCCCUAUAUGCAUAUAGUAAAAACUUAAAAAUCUUCUUUUAAAGAACCAAAAUAGCUAGAGUUUAGAUAUUAAGCAUGAAACAUCUUCUGGUAAGUGUCUACAAAGUUUGUUCAAAUAAAAGCCCUGGGGUCAAAAUUGGCCCCUCCCCGGGGGUCAUUGAUUUUCCUUAUAUGUGUAUAGCAAAAACUUAAAAAACCUUCUUUGAAAAAACCCAAAUAGCUAGAGUUUAGAUAUUAAGCAUGAAACAUCUUCUGGUAAGUGUGUACAAGGUUUGUUCAAAUAAAAGCCCUGGGGUCAAAACUGGCCCCGCCCCAGGGGUUUCAUUGUUUUUAACUAUUUGUGUAUAGUAAAAACUUAAAAAAUCUUCUUUUAAAAAACCCAAUGAGCUAGAGCCUAGAUGUUUAGCAUGAAACAUCUUAUGGUGUCGACCAAGUUUGUUCAAAUUUAAGCCCUUGUAUAAAAAUUGGCCAUGCCGGGUGGGGGGUGGUGCAGAGGUCUUUGUUUUACAUUAUAUGUGUGUAGUAAAAACUUAACAUCAUGAAACAUCUUCUAACGGGUGUCUUACAAGUUUGGUCAAAUAAAAGCCCUGGGGUUUAAACUGGCCCCGCUCCAGGGGCCUAUA